AUAAUUUUGACGUGGUGUUGUAUAUUGCUGUGGGCUGCUGUGUAUUGCCGUGUGUCCUGUCAGAUAAACUCCCGCCUUCACGCACUUCGUCGCGGGAGGACAAGGAGACUGCUGGUCCUAGCCUAGUUCAGUACAGUAUAUGUUGUGAGCGUGCUUCAGAUCUCCGGAGAUAGCACGGUACGCUGUGUCCAGCCCAGAGGUGAAAGCCAUCCAAAGCAGAGUAACUGUGCUUUGUGCCCAAGUUGAUACCUGUGGAGAGGAAAGGAAAGAGAGAUUGAUACCUGUGGAGAGAAAAGGAGAGAGAGUGGGUAACACGAGGAGAGACCGAGGAAACCUGUACUUACGCCGCUGCCUAAAGAGAAAGCGACCGUUGCCUGUGGAGGAAGAGAAAGAGUGAGCACCUCGAGAACGAACUGUGUGAACCAGUACUUACCGUGAGCUGUAUUCAGCGAAGAGGAGGAAGAAGGAGGGCGCUACGGAUACCUAAGACUCAGGCCGGGGCCCGAGUCCCACGCCCCGGAUCCCCGUGGCCCCCUUGCUCCCUGACCUCUUCCCGGCCAUAGCCCAUCUGGAGGGCCGAGUCAGAGUUUAGUUUUAAUUGCCCUUUCCCUAUUCCCCAAGCU
ensembl:lncRNA